AAGAAAGAAAGAAAGAAAGAAAGAAAGAAAGAAAGAAAGAAAGAAAGAAAGAAAGAAAGAAAGAAAGAAAGAAAGAAAGAAAGAAAGAAAGAAAGAUGUGGUUGAGAACAGAAGGCCAGCUAAAAUUGGAAAAGAAAAUAAAUGCAAAAAAAAAAUUUCAGGGAGAAUUUAUGAUAGUUUAAAUCCCUAUUUCUUUUGCCAGGUAGAGAAAUCUUAAGCCUGUUACAUGAUCUUAAACAUCUUUCCAAGUGCUUCAGUGAAUCACUGCCAUUACCAAUAUGGGCAGAAAUUUACUAUAUCAGCUUCCCAGACACUGAAAACAGUGUUGGCAGAGCUGAUAGGUAUUAACUCAGUGAGUCAGAUAGGGUGUUCUUUUUUUAUCUUCAAGGCACACAGGAGCAGCUCCAGCCAUGUUGCCCCUGCAGCUGCUGCCAAAAUCUGGCUUGCCAGUGUGGUAAAUCUGGAACUGCUGAUGAUUGGCACUGCAAGACUUGCAUGCCUCGUAAAAGUUGUGAUGAUGCAGCCAAAGAAGAGCUUUGAAAAGCUACCUCUCAGACACCAAGGUCAAGAAAAGCAAUUGGCUCCUCAUAUGUUUUGUGAGUUUAAUGACCAAAAAAACUUGAGUUUUUGUAAAACUAGCCCUCUGUGA
rnacentral:lncRNA from 1 species